ACACUCAUCCCACUAAGUUAAUCAUGGAGAAAGCAAGCACUAAAUCUGCUUUGAAGUUUGUGAAGAACACUUCUCAGUCUGCAGCUCAAUGGAGCAGUACUAAUUCUAGAGGAAUG